GACGAACGCUGGCGGCGUGCCUAACACAUGCAAGUCGAACGGGGGUAGCAAUACCUCAGUGGCGAACGGGUGCGUAACACGUGAAGAAUUUGUCUAACGGCGGGGGAGUAGCCGGCCCAACGGCCGGGUAAUACCGCGUACGACCUCUGGAGGGCAUCCUCUGGUGGUGAAAGCCGCAAGGCGCCGAUAGAGAACUUCGCGGCCAUCAGCUAGUUGGC
rnacentral:rRNA from 1 species